rnacentral:rRNA from 1 species
UACGUAGGGUGCAAGCGUUGUCCGGAAUUAUUGGGCGUAAAGCGCACGUAGGCGGCUUUGUAAGUUAGAGGUGAAAGCCCGGGGCUCAACCCCGGAACUGCCUUUAAGACUGCAUCGCUUGAAUCCAGGAGAGGUGAGUGGAAUUCCGAGUGUAGAGGUGAAAUUCGUAGAUAUUCGGAAGAACACCAGUGGCGAAGGCGGCUCACUGGACUGGUAUUGACGCUGAGGUGCGAAAGCGUGGGGAGCAAACAGG